rnacentral:rRNA from 1 species
CCUACGGGCGGCAGCAGUGAGGAAUAUUGGUCAAUGGACGAGAGUCUGAACCAGCCAAGUAGCGUGAAGGAUGACUGCCCUAUGGGUUGUAAACUUCUUUUAUAUGGGAAUAAAAUGUUCCACGUGUGGGAUUUUGUAUGUACCAUAUGAAUAAGGAUCGGCUAACUCCGUGCCAGCAGCCGCGGUAAUACGGAGGAUCCGAGCGUUAUCCGGAUUUAUUGGGUUUAAAGGGAGCGUAGGUGGAUUUGUAAGUCAGUUGUGAAAGUUUGCGGCUCAACCGUAAAAUUGCAGUUGAAACUGGCAGUCUUGAGUACAGUAGAGGUGGGCGGAAUUCGUGGUGUAGCGGUGAAAUGCUUAGAUAUCACGAAGAACUCCGAUUGCGAAGGCAGUUCACUGGACUGCAACUGACACUGAGGCUCGAAAGUGUGGGUAUCAAACAGGAUUAGAUACCCGGGUAGUC